rnacentral:rRNA from 1 species
UUCCCCUAGUAACUGCGAGUGAAGCGGGAAAAGCUCAAAUUUGAAAUCUGGCGGCUACGUCGCCCGAGUUGUAUUCUGGAGAAGCGUUUUCCGCGUCGGACCGUGUACAAGUGCCUUGGAACAGGACGUCAUAGAGGGUGAGAAUCCCGUCUUUGACACGGACGCCCGAUGCUCUGUGAUGCGCUCUCGAAGAGUCGAGUUGUUUGGGAAUGCAGCUCAAAACGGGUGGUAAAUUCCAUCUAAAGCUAAAUAUUGGCGAGAGACCGAUAGCGAACAAGUACCGUGAGGGAAAGAUGAAAAGCACUUUGGAAAGAGAGUAAAACAGUACGUGAAAUUGUUGAAAGGGAAACGCUUGAAGUCAGUCGCGUCUGCCGGAACUCAGCCUUGCUUCUGCUUGGUGCACUUUCCGGCCUGACGGGCCAGCAUCGGUUUCGAGCGGCGGACAAUGGCGAGGGGAAGGUGGCAGCUCCGGCUGUGUUAUAGCCCCUUGUCGCAAACGCCGCCCGGGACCGAGGAAUCCGGCGCAAGCCUGGGAUGCUGGCGUAAUGGCUUUAAACGACCCGUCUUGAAACACGGACCAAGGAGUGCUACGUGCUCGCGAGUGUUUGGGUGGAAAACCCGGACGCGAAAUGAAAGUGAAAGCCGAUACCCCUUUGCGGGGGGCACCGGCGCCCGAGCCUGAUGUUUUCGGAAGGCCUUGCGGUAGAGCGAGUGUGUUGCGACCCGAAAGAUGGUGAACUAUUCCUGAGGAGGGCGAAGCCAGAGGAAACUCUGGUGGAGGCUCGUAGCGGUUCUGACGUGCAAAUCGAUCGCAGGACUUGGGUAUAGGGGCGAAAGACU